rnacentral:rRNA from 1 species
CGGCCGCGUCGACCAGUGGAGACCGCCGGGGUCAACUCGGAGGAAGGUGGGGAUGACGUCAAGUCAUCAUGCCCCUUAUGUCCAGGGCUUCACGCAUGCUACAAUGGCUGGUACAGAGAGUGGCGAGCCUGUGAGGGUGAGCGAAUCUCGGAAAGCCGGUCUCAGUUCGGAUUGGGGUCUGCAACUCGACCUCAUGAAGUCGGAGUCGCUAGUAAUCGCAGAUCAGCAACGCUGCGGUGAAUACGUUCCCGGGUCUUGUACACACCGCCCGUCGACGCGGCCG